rnacentral:rRNA from 1 species
AUUGAGCGCUGGCGGCAGGCCUAACACAUGCAAGUCGAACGGUAGCACAGAGAGCUUGCUCUCGGGUGACGAGUGGCGGACGGGUGGGUAAUGUCUGGGAAACUGCCCGAUGGAGGGGGAUAACUACUGGAAACGGUAGCUAAUACCGCAUAACGUCGCAAGACCAAAGUGGGGGACCUUCGGGCCUCACACCAUCGGAUGUGCCCAGAUGGGAUUAGCUAGUAGGUGGGGUAAUGGCUCACCUAGGCGACGAUCCCUAGCUGGUCUGAGCGGAUGACCAGCCACAAUGGAACUGAGGCACGGGCCAGACUCCUACGGGGGGCAGCAGUGGGGAAUAUUGCACAAUGGGCGCAAGCCUGAUGCAGCCAUGCCGCGUGUAUGAAGAAGGCCUUCGGGUUGUAAAGUACUUUCAGCGGGGAGGAAGGCGGUGAAGUUAACAGCUUCACCGAUUGGCGUUACCCGCAGAAGAAGCACCGGCUAACUCCGUGCCAGCCGCCGCCGUAA